AGGGUCGUUCGAGACCAGGACGUUGAUAGGCUGCAGGUGUAAAGUCAGUAAUGGCAUAGCCGAGCAGUACUAAUUGCCCGUAAGCUUUUUUCGC
rnacentral:rRNA from 1 species